rnacentral:rRNA from 1 species
AGGACGAACGCUGGCGGCGUGCUUAACACAUGCAAGUCGAGCGAGGCCCUUCCUUCGGGAAGGUGCCCUAGCGGCGAACGGGUGAGUAACACGUGGGCAACCUGCCCCUAGCACUGGGAUAACUCCGGGAAACCGGGGCUAACACCGGAUACGACCUCAGAGGGCAUCCUUCGAGGUGGAAAAAUUCAUUGGCUAGGGAUGGGCCCGCGGCCUAUCAGCUUGUUGGUGGGGUAAUGGCCCACCAAGGCGACGACGGGUA